GGACCGGUAGCUCAGUUGGUAGAGCAUCCGACUCUUAAUCGGACGGUCGUGAGUUCGAGCCUCACCCGGUCC
rnacentral:tRNA from 1 species